GCACUCGUGCCACCAGGCGCCUUCUAAGCGCUUGGCCGCAGGUUCGAGUCCUGCCGGGGGCG
rnacentral:tRNA from 1 species